GAUGAACGCUGGCGGCGUGCCUAACACAUGCAAGUCGAGCGGAGAAUUGUUGCUUGCAACAAUUCUUAGCGGCGGACGGGUGAGUAACACGUGGGUAACCUGCCCUAAACAAAGGGAUAACAAUGAGAAAUCAUUGCUAAUACCGUAUAAGCUUACACUAUCGCAUGAUAGAGUAAGAAAAGAUUUAUCGGUUGAGGAGGGGCCAGCGUCUGAUUAGCUAGUUGGAGAGGUAACGGCUCACCAAGGCGACGAUCAGUAGCCGACCUGAGAGGGUGAUCGGCCACAUGGGGACUGAGACACGGCCCAAACUCCUACGGGAGGCAGCAGAGGGGAAUAUUGCACAAUGGAGGAAACUCUGAUGCAGCAACGCCGCGUGAAGGAAGAAGGUUUUCGGAUCGUAAACUUCUAUCUACAGGGAAGAAAAAAAUGACGGUACCUGAGGAAGAAGCCCCGGCUAACUACGUG
rnacentral:rRNA from 1 species